rnacentral:lncRNA from 1 species
AUGGGUCUAUUGUUUCCUGAUGUUUUUUUAUUCCUUUGUCCGUUUAGCUCAAUCCAACGGGAGUCCACAACCAACCCCCUCCCCAGGUCCUUCCACCCUCGGGUCUGGCUGGACACGCCCAUCUGCAGUACCUCCAGCUGGGGCAGAGCUACCCCGCUGCCAACGUCCAGCAUGCGGCUAACUUCUCGGCUCAGAAUUCGGCAUCGCCGGUUCCUCAACAAGUUGCCCAGAGUUACCCAGCAGCGCCUCAACAUCAGCAAUGUCAAUCAGCCCAGGGCUACUCUGAUCCGACUCAGCAACAAAACGCAGCGAUGUUCUCCAUGCAUGUUCAGCAGUCCCUGUCGGGCGCCGGAGAAUCGACUAGCACACCUCCACAGCCGCUAUCAAACGGUUACCCAGCUAGCUCUCUGGCUGCCCCUGCCCAGUGUCUCCCCAGCCUGUCACCAGGCAUCGCACCGCAGAGCUGCACCACACCGGCCCUUUACAACCAACAGCUCCCACUUCAACCACAGCAGCAGCAGCACUUGCAGCACAUACAGCAAGCCAGCGUCCAGCAAACGCAGCAGGGGCAUGUUCCAUCUCAAGGUCCACAUGGCCAACAAAGCAUGCAUGCCCUUCAACAACAACAACAGCAACAACAACAACAGCACAUCAGUAAUCAGCAGCCUAGCCUUCAGUCUCAACAGGCUUCAUUUCAACCGCAAGCUGCAGCAGCACUGCAUCCGCCGUCGGCUGUUCAGCACCAGAGCCUUCACCCCUCCCAACAGGUUCCAACCCCGGCCUCUCAGCUCUACUCCACGGCAACCUCCCCCAUGCCACAAGCCCCCGCGGGUUACCCAGCCGCAGGCAAGCCCGACUCCGGCCCUCAGACCCACUAUGCGCCGGCGUACUUCAUGGCACCGGGACAGACCUUCCUGCCUGGCCCUCAAAAGGCCACUGUUCAGCAAGGAACACCCCAGAACCUACCGGCCUCUGCCCAGCAUACCCAGGCGGCAGUCAGCCCACAACAGUUCGUCCCUUAUCUCAAAAUGGCUGCUUUCCUGA